rnacentral:lncRNA from 1 species
GUAAGAAAAAUGUAGCUUUUGUAUAAGAUAGGGAUUCUGUGAAACUCACUCAUCAGCCUGAAAAUGUCACCAGCUGUGUUGCCGACUGGUUAGAACGUUUCAGGUGUGAGAGGGCAGGUGUGUUUACGAGGCAGAACUCUCAGGUUCUAGGUGUGAGCGGGCACGUGUGUUUACGAGGCAGAACUCUCGGGUUGUAGGUGUGAGAGGGCACGUGUGUUUAUGAGGCAGAACUCUCGGGUUCUAGGUGUGAGAGGGCACGUGUGUUUACGAGGCAGAGCUCUCGGGUUCUAGGUGUGAGAGGGCACGUGUGUUUACGAGGCAGAGCUCUCGGGUUCUAGGUGUGAGAGGGCAGGUGUGUUUACGAGGCAGAGCUCUCGGGUUCUAGGUGUGAGAGGGCACGUGUGUUUACGAGGCAGAGCUCUCGGGUUCUAGGUGUGAGAGGGCAGGUGUGUUUACGAGGCAGAGCUCUCGGGUUCUAGGUGUGAGAAUGCACGUGUGUUUACGAGGCAGAGCUCUCGGGUUCUAGGUGUGAGAGGGCAGGUGUGUUUACGAGGCAGAGCUCUCGGGUUCUAGGUGUGAGAGGGCACGUGUGUUUACGAG